rnacentral:rRNA from 1 species
AGCGGCGGACGGGUGAGUAACACGUGGGUAACCUGCCCAAGAGACUGGGAUAACACCUGGAAACAGAUGCUAAUACCGGAUAACAACACUAGACGCAUGUCUAGAGUUUGAAAGAUGGUUCUGCUAUCACUCUUGGAUGGACCUGCGGUGCAUUAGCUAGUUGGUAAGGUAACGGCUUACCAAGGCAAUGAUGCAUAGCCGAGUUGAGAGACUGAUCGGCCACAUUGGGACUGAGACACGGCCCAAACUCCUACGGGAGGCAGCAGUAGGGAAUCUUCCACAAUGGACGAAAGUCUGAUGGAGCAACGCCGCGUGAGUGAAGAAGGGUUUCGGCUCGUAAAGCUCUGUUGGUAGUGAAGAAAGAUAGAGGUAGUAACUGGCCUUUAUUUGACGGUAAUUACUUAGAAAGUCACGGCUAACUACGUGCCAGCAGCCGCGGUAAUACGUAGGUGGCAAGCGUUGUCCGGAUUUAUUGGGCGUAAAGCGAGUGCGGGCGGUUCAAUAAGUCUGAUGUGAAAGCCUUCGGCUCAACCGGAGAAUUGCAUCAGAAACUGUUGAACUUGAGUGCAGAAGAGGAGAGUGGAACUCCAUGUGUAGCGGUGGAAUGCGUAGAUAUAUGGAAGAACACCAGUGGCGAAGGCGGCUCUCUGGCCUGCAACUGACGCUGAGGCUCGAAAGCAUGGGUAGCGAACAGGAUUAGAUACCCUGGUAGUCCAUGCCGUAAACGAUGAGUGCUAAGUGU